GGCUGGCGGCAUCGCUUAACUACAUGCAGUCGAACGGUAACAGGCCGCUGGGAUCCCUUCGGGGUGAGCGCUGACGAGUGGCGGACGGGUGAGUAACGCGUAGGAAUCUGCCUGGCAGCGGGGGACAACUCCGGGAAACCGGAGCUAAUACCGCAUACGCCCUACGGGGGAAAGACGGGGAUCUUCGGACCUGUCACUGCAAGAUGAGCCUGCGUCGGAUUAGCUUGUUGGUGGGGUAACGGCCUACCAAGGCGACGAUCUGUAGCUGGUCUGAAGGAUGACAGUCACACUGGACUGAGACACGCCAACUCCUACGGAAGCGCAGUGGGAAUAUUGGACAUGGCACAGCUGAUCCACAUGCCGUUGUAA
rnacentral:rRNA from 1 species